GACGAACGCUGGCGGCGUGCUUAACACAUGCAAGUCGAACGGUAAGGCCCUUCGGGGUACACGAGUGGCGAACGGGUGAGUAACACGUGGGUGAUCUGCCCUGCACUUCGGGAUAAGCCUGGGAAACUGGGUCUAAUACCGGAUAGGACCCUGGGAUGCAUGUCCUGGGGUGGAAAGCUUUUGCGGUGUGGGAUGGGCCCGCGGCCUAUCAGCUCGUUGGUGAGGUAACGGCUCACCAAGGCGACGACGGGUAACCGGCCUGAGAGGGUGACCGGUCACACUGGGACUGAGACACAGCCCAGACUCCUACGGGAGGCAGCAGUGGGGAAUAUUGCACAAUGGGCGCAAGCCUGAUGCAGCAACGCCGCGUGAGGGAUGAAGGCCUUCGGGUUGUAAACCUCUUUUAGCAGGGAAGAAGCGAAAGUGUCGGUACCUGCAGAAAAAGCACCGGCUAACUACGUGCCAGCCGCCGCGGUAA
rnacentral:rRNA from 1 species